rnacentral:misc_RNA from 1 species
GAUGAAGAAACGCAGCGAAAUGCGAUACGUAGUGUGAAUUGCAGAAUUCCGUGAACCAUCGAAUCUUUGAACGCAUAUUGCGCUCGAGCCCUCGGGCAAGAGCAUGUCUGCCUCAGCGUCGGUUUACACCCUCACCCCUCCCAACUUUGUUUGGGCGUGUCGGCUUCUCUAGCUGGCCAUAGGGGUGGAUCUGGCUUCCCCAAUCUGCCAUCUGGCGGGUUGGGCUAGCUGAAGUGCAGAGGCUUAAGAAAGGACCCGUUAUGGGCUUCAACUGGAUAGGUAGCACCGGCUUCUGCCGACUACACGAAGUUGUGGCUUGUGGAUCUUGCUAGGGGCCAAGCAGGAACGUGCCUUUGGCAUGUCUAAACUUUCGACCUGAGCUCAGGCAAGGCUACCCGCUGAACUUAAGCAUAUCAAUAAGCGGAGGA